rnacentral:rRNA from 1 species
AGAGUUUGAUCAUGGCUCAGAUUGAACGCUGGCGGCAGGCCUAACACAUGCAAGUCGAGCGGUAGCACAGAGAGCUUGCUCUCGGGUGACGAGCGGCGGACGGGUGAGUAAUGUCUGGGAAACUGCCUGAUGGAGGGGGAUAACUACUGGAAACGGUAGCUAAUACCGCAUAAUGUCGCAAGACCAAAGUGGGGGACCUUCGGGCCUCAUGCCAUCAGAUGUGCCCAGAUGGGAUUAGCUUGUAGGUGGGGUAACGGCUCACCUAGGCGACGAUCCCUAGCUGGUCUGAGAGGAUGACCAGCCACACUGGAACUGAGACACGGUCCAGACUCCUACGGGAGGCAGCAGUGGGGAAUAUUGCACAAUGGGCGCAAGCCUGAUGCAGCCAUGCCGCGUGUGUGAAGAAGGCCUUCGGGUUGUAAAGCACUUUCAGCGGGGAGGAAGGCGGUAAGGUUAAUAACCUCAGCGAUUGACGUUACCCGCAGAAGAAGCACCGGCUAACUCCGUGCCAGCAGCCGCGGUAAUACGGAGGGUGCAAGCGUUAAUCGGAAUUACUGGGCGUAAAGCGCACGCAGGCGGUCUGUCAAGUCGGAUGUGAAAUCCCCGGGCUCAACCUGGGAACUGCAUUCGAAACUGGCAGGCUAGAGUCUUGUAGAGGGGGGUAGAAUUCCAGGUGUAGCGGUGAAAUGCGUAGAGAUCUGGAGGAAUACCGGUGGCGAAGGCGGCCCCCUGGACAAAGACUGACGCUCAGGUGCGAAAGCGUGGGGAGCAAACAGGAUUAGAUACCCUGGUAGUCCACGCCGUAAACGAUGUCGAUUUGGAGGUUGUGCCCUUGAGGCGUGGCUUCCGGAGCUAACGCGUUAAAUCGACCGCCUGGGGAGUACGGCCGCAAGGUUAAAACUCAAAUGAAUUGACGGGGGCCCGCACAAGCGGUGGAGCAUGUGGUUUAAUUCGAUGCAACGCGAAGAACCUUACCUGGUCUUGACAUCCACAGAACUUAGCAGAGAUGCUUUGGUGCCUUCGGGAACUGUGAGACAGGUGCUGCAUGGCUGUCGUCAGCUCGUGUUGUGAAAUGUUGGGUUAAGUCCCGCAACGAGCGCAACCCUUAUCCUUUGUUGCCAGCGGUCCGGCCGGGAACUCAAAGGAGACUGCCAGUGAUAAACUGGAGGAAGGUGGGGAUGACGUCAAGUCAUCAUGGCCCUUACGACCAGGGCUACACACGUGCUACAAUGGCAUAUACAAAGAGAAGCGACCUCGCGAGAGCAAGCGGACCUCAUAAAGUAUGUCGUAGUCCGGAUUGGAGUCUGCAACUCGACUCCAUGAAGUCGGAAUCGCUAGUAAUCGUAGAUCAGAAUGCUACGGUGAAUACGUUCCCGGGCCUUGUACACACCGCCCGUCACACCAUGGGAGUGGGUUGCAAAAGAAGUAGGUAGCUUAACCUUCGGGAGGGCGCUUACCACUUUGUGAUUCAUGACUGGGGUGAAGUCGUAACAAGGUAACCGUAGGGGAACCUGCGGUUGGAUCACCU